rnacentral:rRNA from 1 species
AUGAACGCUAGCGACAAGGCCUAACACAUAGCAAGUCGAGGGGCAGCACAAGGAGCAAUCUGAGGUGGCGACCGGCGCACGGGUGAGUAACACGUAUGCAACCUGCCUGUAAGCGGGGAAUAACCCGUUGAAAGACGGACUAAUACCGCAUAAUACUAAAUUACUGCAUGGUAAUUUAUUUAAACAUUUAUGGCUUACAGAUGGGCAUGCGCAAUGAUUAGCUAGUUGGAGAGGUAACGGCUACCCCAAGGCAACGAUCAUUAGGGGUUCUGAGAGGAAGGUCCCCCCACACUGGUACUGAGACACGGACCAGACUCCUACGGGAGGCAGCAGUGAGGAAUAUUGGUCAAUGGACGAGAGUCUGAACCAGCCAAGUCGCGUGCAGGAAGAAUUGUCCUAUGGAUUGUAAACUGCUUUUGCAGGGGAAUAAAGUGCAUCACGUGUGAUGUUUUGUAUGUACUCUGCGAAUAAGGAUCGGCUAACUCCGUGCCAGCCGCGGC